AUUGAACGCUGGCGGCAUGCCUUACACAUGCAAGUCGAACGGCAGCACGGGAGCAAUCCUGGUGGCGAGUGGCGAACGGGUGAGUAAUACAUCGGAACGUGCCCAAUCGUGGGGGAUAACGCAGCGAAAGCUGUGCUAAUACCGCAUACGAUCUACGGAUGAAAGCAGGGGAUCGCAAGACCUUGCGCGAAUGGAGCGGCCGAUGGCAGAUUAGGUAGUUGGUGAGGUAAAGGCUCACUAAGCCGUCGAUCUGUAGCUGGUCUGAGAGGACGACCAGCCACACUGGGACUGGAGACACUUUUUUUUUCUCCCAUCCCUA
rnacentral:rRNA from 1 species